rnacentral:rRNA from 1 species
AGCAGCCGCGGUAAUUCCAGCUCCAAUAGCGUAUAUUAAAGUUGUUGCAGUUAAAAAGCUCGUAGUUGAAUUUCGGGGUUAGUAGGUUGGUCAUGCCUCCGGUAUGUACUGGUCUCACUGAUUCCUCCUUCCUGAUGAACCGUAAUGCCAUUAAUUUGGUGUUGCGGGGAAUUUGGACUGUUACUUUGAAAAAUUAGAGUGUUUAAAGCAAGCUAACGCUUGAAUACAUUAGCAUGGAAUAAUGAAAUAGGACGUUCGAUCCUAUUUUGUUGGUUUCUAGGAUUGACGUAAUGAUUAAUAGGGAUAGUUGGGGGCAUUAGUAUUCAAUUGUCAGAGGUGAAAUUCUUGGAUUUAUUGAAGACUAACUACUGCGAAAGCAUUUGCCAAGGAUGUUUUCAUUAAUCAGGAACGAAAGUUAGGGGAUCGAAGACGAUCAGAUACCGUCGUAGU